GGGGCCGUAGCUCAACGGGAGAGCACCUGCUUUGCAAGCAGGGGGUUGGCGGUUCGAGUCCGCUCGGCUCCACCA
rnacentral:tRNA from 1 species